rnacentral:rRNA from 1 species
UACGUAGGGUGCGAGCGUUGUCCGGAUUUAUUGGGCGUAAAGAGCUCGUAGGCGGCUUGUCGCGUCUGCCGUGAAAUUUCGAGGCUCAACCUCGAACUUGCGGUGGGUACGGGCAGACUAGAGUGUGGUAGGGGAGACUGGAAUUCCUGGUGUAGCGGUGAAAUGCGCAGAUAUCAGGAGGAACACCGAUGGCGAAGGCAGGUCUCUGGGCCACUACUGACGCUGAGAAGCGAAAGCAUGGGGAGCGAACAGG